UUUCACAAGACAGAGGAAACCGUCAGAAAGAGCCAUGGUUAUUUUGGGGAGUAGAAAUAAGCCAUCCUUUUUGUGAGGUGCGGCCGCCCAAGGCACCUUCCAAGCCUCGCUGGAUUCCCGAGGAAGACCAUCCGGCCCCCGACCAAGCACAAAGGGCCCCCUCUGUGGGGAGGUCCUUAUCAGGAACCAACCCUACAAAACACGGACGGAAAUUCUCGACAAAACAAGCUCUUCUCCAACAUCAAGAAAGGGCAUACAGGACAGAGAGGAGCGCAUGAAAUGGGGGAAGACAUGGGUAGCAUUUUAGAGUUGACGAAAUAAGAUUCUCUGAGAACCAGCACGAGCAGGGUGGGGAAAAAAACCUCUCCACCAAGAGGCCUGCCAGUCUUUUCCACUAAGGAAAAUUCUAGAAUGCUACCAACAGGGCCAGCCUUCAAGAUGGCACUGUUAAAAACUGCAGCGAAUCGUCAAUGUGGCCCAAGAGAUCCAGAAAAAGAAAAGUGACCCCAGCAGGGCCAAUGCUCCGAGAGCAAAGGAGAAAUCCACCAGGACCAGCAGGACCACCCGUAUUCAGGCCUCCUCUCUGCUUCUAAAGUCCACCAGCCAAGAAGAUUUUGCAUUUGCACACCUGGUCACGGGAGCUGAAGUUCAAGGGCAGAAUAGUACAGGUCCCGGGAAGAGAGGCCGGAAAACGUGGAAACGUCAAAAGAGAAAACAAAAGUCGUCCCUGAUCCAUCACUGGGAAAGAACCACCGUGGACCGACACCUCCCCCAAGAGAUGGGGAAUCCAGACUCGAGGAGGCUGGGGAUGCUCCAAGGACGACCGAACCAGGAAGGGGCAGAGCUGUGGCCGUGACCGCCAGCCCGGUCCUCUCUGGUACACUCGAGCACAGUGACGAGAAGAAUCUACAGUAUCUGGAAAUCAACCGCUUUACGUGUCUCUUUCCUGCAGCUUACAUAAAGGCUUUUCUGCCCUUCCUUCUCUUGGAGCUACUAGAAUUCUGGGACCCAGGGAGCUAUUUUAAGCCGGAGCCCACGUCCUGUGUUCACCAAGAGGCUGGCGAGGCAACAGGAAAAGCAGGCUACAUUUCUGCGGCUGGCGCAACUUUACCCUCAGGCCAGGCAGGUGUCAGAAACGGAGGGGACAGAUGGCACCUCUCCAGGGCCUCGCGGAGGACACGACACCACCUGGUGGCCCGUUAUGCCGGGGGCCUGGGAAAUGUGUUGGUUUUCUGGGGCUGCCCCAACA